rnacentral:rRNA from 1 species
UACGUAGGGGCGAGCGUUGUCCGGAGUUACUGGGCGUAAAGCGCUUGUAGGCGGUCCACCAAGUUUGGGUGACAGUUGCCGACUUAAUCGGCAAGUGCCUCAAAGACUGGCGGUACUGGCAGGCCACAGGAGGCAUGGAACUCCAGGUGUAGUGGUGAAAUUCGUAGAUAUUCGGAAGAACACCAGUGGCGAAGGCGACACACUGGCCAUACUGACGCUGAGCGCGAAGCGUGGGAGCAACAG